GAUGAACGCUGGCGGCGUGCCUAAUACAUGCAAGUCGAGCGAACGGACGAGAAGCUUGCUUCUCUGAUGUUAGCGGCGGACGGGUGAGUAACACGUGGAUAACCUACCUAUAAGACUGGGAUAACUUCGGGAAACCGGAGCUAAUACCGGAUAAUAUUUUGAACCGCAUGGUUCAAAAGUGAAAGACGGUCUUGCUGUCACCUAUAGAUGGAUCCGCGCUGCAUUAGCUAGCUGGUAAGGUAACGGCUUACCAAGGCAACGAUGCAUAGCCGACCUGAGAGGGUGAUCGGCCACACUGGAACUGAGACACGGUCCAGACUCCUACGGGAGGCAGCAGUAGGGAAUCUUCCGCAAUGGGCGAAAGCCUGACGGAGCAACGCCGCGUGAGUGAUGAAGGUCUUCGGAUCGUAAAACUCUGUUAUUAGGGAAGAACAUAUGUGUAAGUAACUGUGCACAUCUUGACGGUACCUAAUCAGAAAGCCACGGCUAACUACGUG
rnacentral:rRNA from 1 species